GGUGGAUGGAUGAGAUUGCGAAAAGAGCAACGCAAAGCUACUGAUAUUGCUAGAUACACAAUGCUGUUGCGUGUUCAAUUCAAGGAAGAGCAGAAAUAUGUCAAGGUGUCUGAGCUGACAUUCAAGCUUUCUUGAAAGAAGUGUGUCUAAAAUUCAAGAUACCAGAAAGCAGGCAGCCAGACAUUAAGGUGUAUGACCAAUCAGACACAGAAGUUGACACAGAGGUUUUUGAAGAAAUGGUGAAGGAGUCACCUGGAACUUUGAGAAUCAUGCUGGACAAUGGAGGACUUGGUGCCUCUCAAUCAUCAUGCCCGGGUACAUCUGAGGACACCGUCAUCCUGAAUUUCACGUUUUGUGACCCCAUUGAAGAAGAAGCCGCUGCAGAAGAAAGCCAGCCUAAAAGGCCAUGCCACAUUAACCUU